UGGGGAAUUUUGGACAAUGGGGGAAACCCUGAUCCAGCCAUCCCGCGUGUGCGAUGAAGGCCUUCGGGUUGUAAAGCACUUUUGGCAGGAAAGAAACGUCGCGGGUUAAUACCCCCGCNAAACUGACGGUACCUGCAGAAUAAGCACCGGCUAACUACGUGCCAGCAGCCGCGGUAAUACGUAGGGUGCAAGCGUUAAUCGGAAUUACUGGGCGUAAAGCGUGCGCAGGCGGUUCGGAAAGAAAGAUGUGAAAUCCCNGAGCUUAACUUUGGAACUGCAUUUUUAACUACCGGGCUAGAGUGUGUCAGAGGGAGGUGGAAUUCCGCGUGUAGCAGUGAAAUGCGUAGAUAUGCGGAGGAACACCGAUGGCGAAGGCAGCCUCCUGGGAUAACACUGACGCUCAUGCACGAAAGCGUGGGGAGCAAACAGGAUUAGAUACCCUGGUAGUCCACGCCCUAAACGAUGUCAACUAGCUGUUGGGGCCUUCGGGCCUUGGUAGCGCAGCUAACGCGUGAAGUUGACCGCCUGGGGAGUACGGUCGCAAGAUUAAAACUCAAAGGAA
rnacentral:rRNA from 1 species